UUUAAUGAAAAUUUGCCGAAGCAUUAGUAGCUACGUUUGUCCAUUAUUUAAUUUUCUCGCACUAUAUCUUUUGAAUGUUUUUUCUUUUUUAUUCUUGUUCAGUUUACCUAUGUACAAAUAUUAUGUUGCAUAUGUACAAAGGCAAGUGUCUUCGGGUAAUUUGAAUUUCCCAAAGGAAAUAACUUACGCCAAGUUUCGUCUCGCUAUCAUUGCCAUGAUACGAUUGCUUGAUAUUGAUUUUGACAAUGAGUUUUUUGUGAAUUAUGUGGAAGAAUUCCCCAGAAGGUGGUGAUGGAUGGAACAACUCUUGAAAUACAGAAAACUUUCUUACCAAAUAGUUUAAGAGAGUCUGAUACUGGAUUGCUAGAUGGAAGAUAAGUAUUUUUGAAGUUUAUCUGUAAUAUAUAAUAUAUACAGGUCUGCUAAUUAGUAAAUACGAGUGUUCAUCUACGUA